rnacentral:rRNA from 1 species
UACGUAGGGUGCGAGCGUUGUCCGGAAUUAUUGGGCGUAAAGAGCUCGUAGGCGGUUUGUCGCGUCGACUGUGAAAACCUACAGCUUAACUGUGGGCUUGCAGUCGAUACGGGCAGACUUGAGUUCGGUAGGGGAGACUGGAAUUCCUGGUGUAGCGGUGAAAUGCGCAGAUAUCAGGAGGAACACCGGUGGCGAAGGCGGGUCUCUGGGCCGAUACUGACGCUGAGGAGCGAAAGCGUGGGGAGCGAUCCGG